rnacentral:rRNA from 1 species
CGGCUAACUACGUGCCAGCAGCCGCGGUAAUACGUAGGGUGCAAGCGUUGUCCGGAAUUACUGGGCGUAAAGAGUUCGUAGGCGGUUUGUCGCGUCGUUUGUGAAAACCAGCAGCUCAACUGCUGGCUUGCAGGCGAUACGGGCAGACUUGAGUACUGCAGGGGAGACUGGAAUUCCUGGUGUAGCGGUGAAAUGCGCAGAUAUCAGGAGGGACACCGGUGGCGAAGGCGGGUCUCUGGGCAGUAACUGACGCUGAGGAACGAAAGCGUGGGUAGCGAACAGGAUUAGAUACCCUGGUAGUCCACGCCGUAAACGGUGGGCGCUAGGUGUGGGUUCCUUCCACGGAAUCCGUGCCGUAGCUAACGCAUUAAGCGCCCCGCCUGGGGAGUACGGCCGCAAGGCUAAAACUCAAAGGAAUUGACGGGGGCCCGCACAAGNGGCGGAGCAUGUGGAUUAAUUCGAUGCAACGCGAAGAACCUUACCUGGGUUUGACAUAUAC